rnacentral:rRNA from 1 species
GAGAGGAACUUGUUCCUCGAGUCGUUGAUUUCACACUGCCGAGAAAAGCCUCUAGCUAGAAUAACGGUGCCCGUACCGCAAACCGACACAGGUAGUCAAGAUGAGAAUUCUAAGGUGAGCGAGCGAACUCUCGUUAAGGAACUCGGCAAAAUGACCCCGUAACUUCGGGAGAAGGGGUGCUCUUUGAGGUUCACGCUUCGAAGAGCCGCAGUGAAUAGGCCCAAGCGACUGUUUAUCAAAAACACAGGUCUCUGCUAAACCGUAAGGUGACGUAUAGGGGCUGACGCCUGCCCGGUGCUGGAAGGUUAAGAGGAGUGGUUAGCGCAAGCGAAGCUACGAAUCGAAGCCCCAGUAAACGGCGGCCGUAACUAUAACGGUCCUAAGGUAGCGAAAUUCCUUGUCGGGUAAGUUCCGACCCGCACGAAAGGCGUAACGAUUUGGGCACUGUCUCAACGAGAGACUCGGUGAAAUCAUAGUACCGGUGAAGAUGCCGGUUACCCGCGACAGGACGGAAAGACCCCGUGGAGCUUUACUGUAGCCUGAUAUUGAAAUUCGGUACAGUUUGUACAGGAUAGGUAGGAGCCUUAGAAGCGUGAGCGCUAGCUUACGUGGAGGCAUUGGUGGGAUACUACCCUAAUUGUAUUGGAUUUCUAACCCGCAGCACUUAUCGUGCUGGGAGACAGUGUCAGGCGGGCAGUUUGACUGGGGCGGUCGCCUCCUAAAGAGUAACGGAGGCGCUCAAAGGUUCCCUCAGAAUGGUUGGAAAUCAUUCAUAGAGUGUAAAGGCAUAAGGGAGCUUGACUGCGAGACCUACAAGUCGAGCAGGGUCGAAAGACGGACUUAGUGAUCCGGUGGUUCCGCAUGGAAGGGCCAUCGCUCAACGGAUAAAAGCUACCCCGGGGAUAACAGGCUUAUCUCCCCCAAGAGUUCACAUCGACGGGGAGGUUUGGCACCUCGAUGUCGGCUCAUCGCAUCCUGGGGCUGUAGUCGGUCCCAAGGGUUGGGCUGUUCGCCCAUUAAAGCGGUACGCGAGCUGGGUUCAGAACGUCGUGAGACAGUUCGGUCCCUAUCCGUCGUGGGCGUAGGAAAUUUGAGAGGAGCUGUCCUUAGUACGAGAGGACCGGGAUGGACAUACCUCUGGUGUACCAGUUGUCGUGCCAACGGCAUAGCUGGGUAGC